rnacentral:rRNA from 1 species
UACGUAGGGACCUAGCGUUGUCCGGAAUCAUUGGGCGUAAAGCGCGCGUAGGCGGCCCGGUAAGUCCGUUGUAAAAGUCAAAGGCUCAACCUUUGAAAGCCGAUGGAUACUGCCGGGCUAGAGUACGGAAGAGGCGAGUAGAAUUCCUGGUGUAGCGGUGGAAUGCGCAGAUAUCAGGAGGAACACCGGUGGCGAAGGCGGGACUCUGGGCCGAUACUGACGCUGAGGAGCGAAAGCGUGGGGAGCAAACAGG